rnacentral:rRNA from 1 species
GACGAACGCUGGCGGCGUGCUUAACACAUGCAAGUCGAACGCUGAAGCUUGGUGCUUGCACUGGGUGGCUGAGUGGCGAACGGGUGAGUAAUACGUGAGUAACCUGCCCUUGACUCUGGGAUAAGCCUGGGAAACUGGGUCUAAUACUGGAUACGACAUGUCACCGCAUGCUGGUGUGUGGAAAGGGUUUUACUGGUUUUGGAUGGGCUCACGGCCUAUCAGCUUGUUGGUGGGGUAAUGGCUCACCAAGGCGACGACGGGUAGCCGGCCUGAGAGGGUGACCGGCCACACUGGGACUGAGACACGGCCCAGACUCCUACGGGAGGCAGCAGUGGGGAAUAUUGCACAAUGGGCGGAAGCCUGAUGCAGCGACGCCGCGUGAGGGAUGACGGCCUUCGGGUUGUAAACCUCUUUCAGCACGGAAGAAGCGAAAGUGACGGUACGUGCAGAAGAAGCGCCGGCUAACUACGUG